CUCGGCAACGGAUAUCUCGGCUCUCGCAUCGAUGAAGAACGUAGCGAAAUGCGAUACUUAGCGUGAAUUGCAGAAUCCCGUGAACCAUCGAGUCUUUGAACGCAAGUUGCGCCCGACGCAUUCGGCCGAGGGCACGUCUGCCUGGGUGUCACGG
rnacentral:rRNA from 1 species